AGAGUUUGAUCCUGGCUCAGGACGAACGCUGGCGGCGUGCUUAACACAUGCAAGUCGAACGGAAAGGCCCCUUUGGGGGUACUCGAGUGGCGAACGGGUGAGUAACACGUGAGUAACCUGCCCUUGACUUCGGGAUAACUUCAGGAAACUGGGGCUAAUACCGGAUAGGAAUCCUUGCUGCAUGGUGGGGGUUGGAAAGCUUCGGCGGUUUUGGAUGGACUCGCGGCUUAUCAGCUUGUUGGUGGGGUAGUGGCUUACCAAGGCUUUGACGGGUAGCCGGCCUGAGAGGGCGACCGGCCACAUUGGGACUGAGAUACGGCCCAGACUCCUACGGGAGGCAGCAGUGGGGAAUAUUGCACAAUGGGCGGAAGCCUGAUGCAGCAACGCCGCGUGCGGGAUGACGGCCUUCGGGUUGUAAACCGCUUUCAGCAGGGGCGAAGCUUUUGUGACGGUACCUGCAGAAGAAGCACCGGCUAACUACGUGCCAGCAGCCGCGGUGAUACGUAGGGUGCGAGCGUUGUCCGGAUUUAUUGGGCGUAAAGAGCUCGUAGGUGGUUGAUUGCGUCGGAAGUGAAAACUUGGGGCUUAACCCUGAGCGUGCUUUCGAUACGGGUUGACUUGAGGAAGGUAGGGGAGAAUGGAAUUCCUGGUGGAGCGGUGGAAUGCGCAGAUAUCAGGAGGAACACCAGUGGCGAAGGCGGUUCUCUGGACCUUUCCUGACGCUGAGGAGCGAAAGCGUGGGGAGCGAACAGGCUUAGAUACCCUGGUAGUCCACGCUGUAAACGGUGGGUACUAGGUGUGGGGUCCAUUCCACGGAUUCCGUGCCGUAGCUAACGCAUUAAGUACCCCGCCUGGGGAGUACGGCCGCAAGGCUAAAACUCAAAGGAAUUGACGGGGCCCCGCACAAGCGGCGGAGCAUGCGGAUUAAUUCGAUGCAACGCGAAGAACCUUACCUGGGCUUGACAUGUUCCCGACGGUCGUAGAGAUACGGCUUCCCUUCGGGGCGGGUUCACAGGUGGUGCAUGGUCGUCGUCAGCUCGUGUCGUGAGAUGUUGGGUUAAGUCCCGCAACGAGCGCAACCCU
rnacentral:rRNA from 1 species